rnacentral:rRNA from 1 species
GACGAACGCUGGCGGCGUGCUUAACACAUGCAAGUCGAGCGGUAAGGCCCUUUCGGGGGUACACGAGCGGCGAACGGGUGAGUAACACGUGGGUGACCUGCCCUCAGCUCUGGGAUAAGCCCGGGAAACUGGGUCUAAUACCGGAUAUGACUUCAUGACGCAUGUUGUGGAGUGGAAAGCCUUGUGCGGCUGAGGAUGGGCCCGCGGCCUAUCAGCUUGUUGGUGGGGUGANGGCCUACCAAGGCGACGACGGGUAGCCGGCCUGAGAGGGCGACCGG